rnacentral:rRNA from 1 species
GUGAGGAAUAUUGGUCAAUGGGCGGGAGCCUGAACCAGCCAAGUCGCGUGAAGGAAGAAGGAUCUAUGGUUCGUAAACUUCUUUUGCAGGGGAAUAAAGUGCAGGACGUGUCCUGUUUUGUAUGUACCCUGAGAAUAAGGAUCGGCUAACUCCGUGCCAGCAGCCGCGGUAAUACGGAGGAUCCGAGCGUUAUCCGGAUUUAUUGGGUUUAAAGGGUGCGUAGGUGGUUUGAUAAGUCAGCGGUGAAAGUUUGCAGCUUAACUGUAAAAAUGCCGUUGAAACUGGCGGACUUGAGUGUAAAUGAGGUAGGCGGAAUGCGUGGUGUAGCGGUGAAAUGCAUAGAUAUCACGCAGAACUCCGAUUGCGAAGGCAGCUUACUAAGCUACAACUGACACUGAAGCACGAAAGCGUGGGGAUCAAACAGGAUUAGAUACCCGGGUAGUCC